AUGGGUUGUAAACUUCUUUUAUAAAGGAAUAAAGUCGGGUAUGGAUACCCGUUUGCAUGUACUUUAUGAAUAAGGAUCGGCUAACUCCGUGCCAGCAGCCGCGGUAAUACGGAGGAUCCGAGCGUUAUCCGGAUUUAUUGGGUUUAAAGGGAGCGUAGAUGGAUGUUUAAGUCAGUUGUGAAAGUUUGCGGCUCAACCGUAAAAUUGCAGUUGAUACUGGAUAUCUUGAGUGCAGUUGAGGCAGGCGGAAUUCGUGGUGUAGCGGUGAAAUGCUUAGAUAUCACGAAGAACUCCGAUUGCGAAGGCAGCCUGCUAAGCUGCAACUGACAUUGAGGCUCGAAAGUGUGGGUAUCAAACAGGAUUAGAUACCCUGGUAGUCCACACGGUAAACGAUGAAUACUCGCUGUUUGCGAUAUACUGCAAGCGGCCAAGCGAAAGCGUUAAGUAUUCCACCUGGGGAGUACGCCGGCAACGGUGAAACUCAAAGGAAUUGACGGGGGCCCGCACAAGCGGAGGAACAUGUGGUUUAAUUCGAUGAUACGCGAGGAACCUUACCCGGGCUUAAAUUGCAGAUGAAUUACGGUGAAAGCCGUAAGCCGCAAGGCAUCUGUGAAGGUGCUGCAUGGUUGUCGUCAGCUCGUGCCGUGAGGUGUCGGCUUAAGUGCCAUAACGAGCGCAACCCUUGUUGUCAGUUACUAACAGGUUCCGCUGAGGACUCUGACAAGACUGCCAUCGUAAGAUGUGAGGAAGGUGGGGAUGACGUCAAAUCAGCACGGCCCUUACGUCCGGGGCUACACACGUGUUACAAUGGGGGGUACAGAGGGCCGCUACCACGCGAGUGGAUGCCAAUCCCCAAAACCUCUCUCAGUUCGGACUGGAGUCUGCAACCCGACUCCACGAAGCUGGAUUCGCUAGUAAUCGCGCAUCAGCCACGGCGCGGUGAAUACGUUCCCGGGCCUUGUACACACCGCCCGUCAAGCCAUGGGAGCCGGGGGUACCUGAAGUGCGUAACCGCGAGGAGCGCCCUAGGGUAAAACUGGUGAUUGGGGCUAAGUCGUAACAAGGUAGCCGUACCGGAAGGUGCGGCUG
rnacentral:rRNA from 1 species